rnacentral:rRNA from 2 species
UACGUAGGGUGCAAGCGUUAAUCGGAAUUACUGGGCGUAAAGCGUGCGCAGGCGGUUAUGUAAGACAGGUGUGAAAUCCCAGGGCUUAACCUUGGAACUGCAUUUGUGACUGCAUAGCUAGAGUACGGUAGAGGGGGAUGGAAUUCCGCGUGUAGCAGUGAAAUGCGUAGAUAUGCGGAGGAACACCGAUGGCGAAGGCAAUCCCCUGGACCUGUACUGACGCUCAUGCACGAAAGCGUGGGGAGCAAACAGG